CAUCAGACAAUAUUGGGCAAAAUAAAGUGACUAGACCUAUAUAUCAACUCAACAUUAGAUUUUAAAAUCAGCCAAAAAUCUCUGUUAAAUUCUCUGGAGAAAAAGCCCAUAUUGGACUUAAAUUUCCUUUAGAAAUGUCCAAGAUGAGAAUUAUCCUGCUUCUGUUCCUUUAAUAGGUUGAUGAACAUGCAAUAAUAAUGAAUGAAUCAAUAUCGAAUACAAAUAUCUCAAUAUUUAGUCUUCCAGUCGACCAUAGCCUAUAACAAAUACUAUUCUAGUGUCAUUUGGAUUUCAGCUAGAUCCCAGCGGGCAGAUGGAAAAUCAGCCUGUCAGGACAAACUGGAAUCUUCUCUGUUCUGUAUCUGCUGUGGGCUGCAGAAGACACUCAGUCAGCUCUGUCUCUCUCUCUCGCUCCCUCCCAACGCCUCAUUUCCCUGGGAGCCGUGUUUUGCAUCUCUCCCUAAUUUGCAUUUCUUCUUUAGAUAUUCCGUGCGACGGUCUAGCCGCUCGAAAUCAUAGAAUAAGGCGUAGCACCGCAGCAAUAUCUACAUGCUCCCGGCAUUUCCAAAGCAAUACGCACCGCGGAACCCAUUGGAAAAUUUGAAUAAUGUUGCCGAAGCUUUCCGAAAGGUGAAAUUGAGGAAUAUAUUUGGAUCAAUCCGUUUGGUUGCGCACUAGAGGAGACACAUGCCUUCGAGGUAAACAGACAGCAGGACUGGACAGCCAGAUAGUAGCCUAGGUUAUAUUGUUUUUCUCCUGCGUUAUAAGCGGUUACAAGCUGUUAUAACGCCACAGUAGUGGUCCUAAGGUCGAGCAGAGCUUCAAAUUUUUGGUUUGUUCGCCUUGGUUGGUUAUUGAGACGCAGUUGGAAAUGUCGGAAGUACUACAAGACGAAAUGAGUCAUUAUGGAGAUGAGGACGAUGAGGGACACCUUUCCUUCACCUGUCGCCUCCAAGACACCAACAACUUCUUCAGCGGCUCGCAGGGGGGCAAACGCCCGCCCAAACUUGGACAGAUAGGCAGAAGCAAACGAGUCGUCGAGGAUGAGAGCGGCGUUGACGAGGCGCAGAAAAACGGGACAGAGAAAACACAGACGGAGGCUUAAACACACCACCCCCGCCCCCCGAAAGACAUUGAUUCUCAUUUUCUAUUCGAAAUUAACAGUUUUAAUCCAAAGACACUGUAUAUAAGCACUUUUAUCCCAUAUGGCAGCAAGCACUUCUAGACCCUCUCCCAGUCCUCAUGAUGGUGAUCUCCUGGGACUUAUACUGGCAGGAUGGGGAAACAGCCAAGACAGAGAUGGAGACAGAGAAAGACACGGUGAUGGAUACAGACGCCCAGGUGAAUGCUGUCAUGCCAGGGUUUACGCCCAUAGAGCUUGUCUAAAACAGGGAUGACCAACGUUCUACCCAGAGAGCUAUUGGGUGAGCAGCAGGCUUUUGCUUCAGCCCUACACAUUUUACACUAGUCAAUUAUUGGUCGUAGAUAACUGCUAAGCAGGUCGACCAACAAAUGUAGCAGUCUAAAAACUGUCUUUUCAUGGUCCUGGGUAGCAGCUAAUUCGUAGCAUUAGGUGUAUUAGAGUAGGGAUGGAUCAAAACCCUGCCGGAGGGGAUAGCUCUCAAGGAGGAGGGUCUAAACCAUGUGACCAGGAGAGGAUGCUGUCGAACAAAUGCAGAAAUCAGGGAACAAACUAUAGAAAUGAUCUAAUAAACUAAAGCACACACACACUCUCUUAUAUCAAUCAAACCAUAUGAUAUUACAUUACCAUUCUUUCUGCUCUUGAUUCUUCUGAUGACGAGUGCAAACAAAUAAAUAAUAUAAAUAACUUGUAAAUAAGGAAUGGUACAGAUGUAGGAUCUUAAUUUGAUCACCCUGUUGCAGUAAAACUUGUAUUGUAUUUGAGGUUUAAAAAGGCAUCUGGAGUUAGUAAUUUCCACUUUGAAAUUUCAGACAUGAUUUUCCCUUAUGAGAAAUGCAUCAAACCCUACAAAUGUCCAUUAAUUAUAAUCCACAUAAUAGCAUACUGGCUCAAAUUAAGAUCCCUACAUCUGCAGCCCCACGUUCUGUUAGCCUGGGUGCCAGUCGGUUUCUGCUCUCUUGUCAACUCCUUGUGGAAUUGUCAUGUUUGGCGUGACAAUUGGUCGUGAUGUGGACCUGGCAAGACAGCACGAACAGAUCUGAGACCAGGCUAACGUUUUGUUGCACAACGGAGAAAAGAAGCAGUGAAAUGGUUUGUUGUAAUCUAACGUAAUGUGUCUGUAUAAAGAGACCUUAUUUAUUAACCCUUUGGAGAAGUCUUUUGCAGUGCUCAAGGCCUGACUGAGGGAGAGUUUUGUAUGUAGAGAAUUACGAUGACAGAAUUAAUGAAGUGAUUUUUCCUUUUUUUACUUCUUAUAAAUUUUGAUGUCGCCUGAUCAGUUUUUGUUACCAUCCUGAGAAUCUAUAGAGUCAUUUAUACACAUUAUACAGUACUGUACAUCACUUGUUCGUAAGGCAUCAAAAGGCCUAAAGUCUGGAUUGUUAAAUAUAUCCCUAUUGAUAAACUAUUUAUAUUGCAUUGCGCAUUAUCAUGUGUGCCAAAUAUCAUGAGGGAUAACCAGACAACAUGGUUGCUUAUGUUGUGCUUUCUAUACGUUUAAUUGUAACAAUUUUGUUAUUCUUCUGUUUUUGCCAUUGUUCAGGGCUUUUUCUUACCACUGAAUUACCAACUGAUGCAUGGCAGAAAUGGAAUCAUGCAUGCAUGGUAAUGUUCUGAAGAUGAUCUAGUGUAUUCCAGAACACCUCCUAUACCACUUUGAAUGACUAUCCUCCAGAACAGUCUUAAUAUGACGUACGUUGUACUGUGCUGUACUAUUAUCUCACUGAUUUGUACAGUAGUCUAAUAUCUUGUAAUAAAGAUUCUGAAGAAGUUAA